UUCCUAUUGGGUGGCAUUCUGAUACCCGCCGGGACAAGGGGGGAGCCGGGAGCUCCCAGCCUGGAGCUGCUGCUUCUUGCACUUACGUUUGCCCUGGACAGUUAGUUAUACUGCUCCCUGCUUGAAUCGGUUCCUUUUUAGAGCAGAAGGAAGCAGCUUUUGAUGGCUCGUGUAAAGCAGCUCAAUCGUAAGGUUGCCACUGAAGGACUCCCUCGGGAGGACCUGCUCAAGAGAACAGCUCGAAAAAGGGUAGCAGAGACAAUCUAUGCAUCCCCUAUGGAGCAGGUACCUGGGAAAAAGCCUGCUGGAAAAACCCGUGCUUCUGCAGCAGAAGAGGUGGAGAAGCCUCUGCAUCCCCAGUCUCGCCCCCACGCUAAAAUGUUCCAAAAAAUUCACUGAUAUCAGCAACACAGCGGCCUGGUGAUUUCCCCGCUUGGCUUCCGACGACUAAUGAAAGACGCUUGUGAUCUGAAGAGUAACUUGCAUUUCCAGUCGCCAGCUCUCCUGCCUCUGCAGGAAGCCACUGAAGCUCAUCUCCUGCGGCUGUUUGAAGACUGGAACCAAUGUGCUCUUCAUGCAAAAAGAGCCUCCGUGCAACCCAGCGAUGUUCAUCUUGUGAGAUGCCUCCAGGGAGACAGAACGUGAACUUCAUAGAGGCACACAGGACAACCCUUCUCAGGAAAGAUUUCUCUACAGCUUUCCUUGGGAGUCACCAUGCUGCUGUAGAGGGAAGCACUUGGUUCAUCUUUGUAGCUUUGUUUGUUUUUACAUUUUUAGUUUUUUAAAACUUUUGUUAAAUAGCCUUUCAAAUGUCUCAAAUACAUGGCUAUUACCCUUUUUUAAGACGAUGGGAGAAGCUGAUGGUUUCUCCAAACAGGAAUGCAAAGUUCCCUUUAAUGUUCUCCUCUUUGUAACGUUAAGAUACACUGCUGUCGUUAAGUGAGUUUCUUUGUGCUGGGAAUAAAUGUUUCGCAACAGAAUAUAUAAAUAUAAUAAUGUAAAAAAUAAAGAUCUAUGGUAGUCAAGGUUCGUAUGUCUAUGUUAUAAGUUGCCUAUAUAUUUUGGACAAUGUUUUGGCGAAAAAGUGUCUUUACUUAACCAGAAAAUAUUGUUGAAUUCGCCCAGAAUCAGCAGGGAUGUGUUUACUGUUGGACAUCAAAUCUUCCUAGUGUGUGAUGUGAAAUUACAGAAACUCAUGAAAAUAUUCAUAAUACUGCAGCUUUAUUUUGUGUUAUGUCAGUGUUGUGAUACUGAAAGUCCGCCCUUUUUAAUUUAAUUACUCUAAUGUAGUAACUGUGUCAUU